GCCCCGGUAGUAUAGCCCGGUCUAGUAUGGGCGGCUGUCAACGGCGAAAUCCCGGGUUCAAAUCCCGGCCGGGGCG
rnacentral:tRNA from 1 species